rnacentral:rRNA from 1 species
UUUGAACGUUCGAUCUCAAAUCAGGUAGGACUACCCGCUGAACUUAAGCAUAUCAAUAAGCGGAGGAAAAGAAACUAACAAGGAUUCCCCUAGUAACUGCGAGUGAAGCGGGAAGAGCUCAAUUUAAAAUCUGGCGUGCCUCUGGUCGUCCGAGUUGUAGUCUAGAGAAGUGU